ACAUUAUUGUAUUAAUAGAGGUACAAGGGCUGUAGCUAACUUUUCAAGUUGUGCACGCCUGAAUGCCUCUUAUACACCCAAUCUUACCCCUUUGUGCAUCACCACGUGGGUCCCUUUCUUUUGGUUUAUUCUGAAAGGGGGGGCUUGCGUUUUUAACAUAGACACCCCUUUGAAUUCAGUAUAGAAUGUCUUUAAUAUGUGAUUAAUACAACUUUCAACAACGGAUCUCUUGGCUCUCGCAUCGAUGAAGAACGCAGCGAAAUGCGAUACGUAAUGUGAAUUGCAGAAUUCAGUGAAUCAUCGAAUCUUUGAACGCAUCUUGCACCCCUUGGCAUUCCGAGGGGUACACCCGUUUGAGUGUCGUGAAUAUCCUCAACCUUCUUGGUUUCUUGAUCAAGAAGGCUUGGAAUUUGGAGGCUUUUGCUGGCUUCCUUCAAAGCCAGCUCCUCUUAAAUGAAUUAGUAGGGUCCACUUUGCUGAUCCUUGACGUGAUAAGAUACUUUCUACGUCUUGGGUUUUUGCAAACCUGCUUCUAACUGUCUCGUCGGAGACUGAACUCAUAUAUAUUAAACUCUUGACCUCAAAUCGGGUGAGACUACCCGCUGAACUUAAGCAUAUCAAUAA
rnacentral:sRNA from 1 species